CGGGAAAAUGAAUUUCUCGAGAAAAUGAAUUUCUCGAAAUCAGCUGUAAACACAACUGAUUGAGUCAGUGCGAUGGUUGUAGGCAUGCGUUUGUAGAUAUUGCAAUAGCUAUAUACUCAUGGAGAUAGCUAUAUAACAUAUAUCAAUAUACAGAAAUACUUGGCUUGCGAAAGAAGUGGGAUUUAACAACCAAAAUACAAACACGAUGCAUUUGUAGGUUCCAUACCUGUUCACACAUCCCUAAAUACACACAUACAUACACACACACACUCGUAUACCUACCCUUUAUAUAUAAACUUGGAUUUUAGGAAAAUAAGAGUGGAUAAACAGCUACAAAAAUGGAUGAGUUUGAAUUAAUGUACGCCGACGAAAUGGAAGCGAUGGACGAUUUAGAAGUUCCAGAAAUAACGGCUCCUGCUUCCAGGCGUUCUUUAAACUUCAAUUCUGGUGGGACACAGAAGAAUAAAGAAAUUCGCCCAGACAAAGCUUUGAAUUUGAGUUCUGAGUUUACCGAAAUUGAUCCUUUCUCUCCAGAUAAGAUAAUUAACGAGCAGCUAAGGAAUGGGCAAUCGAAGCGUCUGCUGGAAUUUCCAUCCGAGGGUGAGAUGGAAGAGAUUUUGGCUGCUGGCGCUGAGCAGUCUGAAAACGGUAAAGCAACUUCAUCAAAUAAUGCUGUUCCUUCUGCUAAAAGACAGAAACGAAUGCCAGACACAACGUCUGGAAACUUUGAUGUGGAACCAACGAUUCGGCACGAUGUUCUUGAUGACGACCUUUGCACAGAAAUAGAAACUUUACGACGAAUGGCAAGGAAUUCUCAGGAAUAUCAACAAACACAAAGUCAAGAUGCCAAGAAACAGAGGCAGCGCGUCAGUUUCUCCAUUCCAAAGACUAAUUUCUUCAGUGUCACAUCUUCUGAUGGCACUCGAGCUUACAUGAAGAUGAGGAGCUGUGAAACUCUUGAAGCAGAGGCUGCAAGAGUUAUCAACACCAAGAAUUCUCUGCAACUCCUUGAUGAACCAUUCUCGUUACUGAUGGAGAAAAUUGCUCUGGAGAAAGCCAUAAAAAUUUCAGAAGAAAUCAAUAAUUUAGACUCAGCUACGGAAGGUGGUUCAGUCGGUAGUGGACGGACGCAUCCAGAUGCAGAGGGUGUCCCUGGGGAAGAAAUGGAUGCACAGUCAGUACGUAUGGAUGACAUCUACUGUGAAGAGCGGCCAGCAACAGCAGGGAAUGAAGACAAUUUGUGGGUGGACAAAUAUGCCCCAAGGUCUUACGCAGAGUUGCUCAGUGAAGAGAAUAUCAACCGUUCCUUGUUGCAUUGGUUGAAAUUAUGGGACCACGUUGUGUUUAACAAACCGAUCAAAAUGAACCGAAAGAAGGCUGAUGUUAAGACAAAUGUCCAGUUUAGCAAGAAGAAACAACAGCAAAUGGUCAGCGAAGAAUUGGACAAACAGAAUCGUCCACUUCAGAAGAUUGUUUUGUUGAAUGGUGCCCCUGGUCUGGGAAAGACAACAUUGGCCCACGUCAUUGCUAAACAUGCAGGCUACAAUGUAGUGGAGAUGAAUGCCAGUGAUGACCGCAGUGAAGAAGUGGUGAAGACAAAGAUAGAAUCUGCAAUUUUGAUGAAAUCAGUGGUUGAAAGUGACCCGCGCCCCAAUUGUCUUAUCAUUGAUGAAAUAGAUGGAGCCCCACAGGCAGCCAUCAAUGUCCUCCUGCAAUUGGCCAAAGAGGGACAAACAGGAAAAAAGAAAGAAAAAGGAUUGUUACUUCGACCGAUCAUUUGUAUUUGUAAUGACAUGUAUGUGCCAGCACUCCGACAGCUGCGACCAGUUGCCCUUGUCUUCACCUUUCCUCCUACGGACUCUGCUAGGUUGGCAGGACGACUUUAUCAGGUUUCGAGAUGGGAAACAUUGAAAGCUGAGAUGAACGCGCUAAUGGCGCUCUGUGAGAAGACUGACAACGAUAUUCGGUCUUGUCUGAAUACCUUGCAGUUUGUACAACGCCAGAAACAAGAGUUCAAUCUACGUCUGGUCAAUAGUAUGCACAUUGGUCAGAAAGAUGUCCAACGCAGCUUAUUCAGUGUUUGGUACGAUGUCUUCAGGAUGCCACGGCUUAAGAAGAGUAAAUAUCUGACCGUUCAAGACCUGCAGACUUUGGCCACUAAUGUCCAGCCCAAUACAACACCAACUGCCCGGUUCCAGAACAUUCUGCAGUCCACUUUUGCUGCUGGGGAAUUCGACAAGAUAUUACACGGCCUCUUUCAAAAUUACCUUGAAGUCAAGUUUAAGGAUCCGAAAAUGGGAGGGAUUAACAUGGCUCUUGAUUGGUUGGGUUUUGUCGACGAGAUUAACUGCUACAUUUAUUCGAACCAAGAUUAUACGAUGAUGCAGUACCGUCCCUACCUGUGCGUUGUGUUUCACUUCAUGUUUGCCUCAAACACACACCCCAAAAUACUCUACCCUCAUCAAAACACCGAGAUGUUAUUCAAGAAAACCCGUACUGAAAACCUGAUCAGUUCCCUUUUAUCCGACGUCCACCCGUCCGUCCGCAAAUAUCUCCACUUCAGUUCCAUUAUCCAGGAAGUUAUCCAACCUUUAAUGUCCAUCCUUCAGCCGGCACUCAGACCCGUGAACAUGCAGCUGUACAGCAACCGGGAAAAGGAAUGCCUGAGGCAACUCAUCACCACCAUGAUAGCUUACAACAUGACCUACCAGCAGGAGAAAUCAGCCGAUGGCCAGUACAACUAUGUCCUGGAACCUAACAUUGAAGAGGUUGUCAAGUUCCCUGGGAUGAAACAACAGAAGCAGUUGACUUAUGCAACGAAACAAAUGAUUGCUCGGGAGAUUGCAGCAGAGAAGAUGAGGAUGGCUGACAAGUCCUCUUCUGUACAGAUAAGAAAUGAAAACAGUACAACUACGACCACCACCACAACUGAUGUCAUACCAAACCAUAAACAGAAGUUAGUACCACAAUCAGUCGGCUUCAAGGAGCAUACGGAGCGGGAUUUCUUUGGCCGUAUCAUUAAGCAACCAGUCUCCUCCUCUCAAGUGGACCCUAAUUAUGUUGCGAAAGAAAAGAACCCACUGAGGAAAGUGAUUUGGUUUCGAUUCAAAGAAGGUUUUUCAAAUGCCAUACGACGCAAAGUGAAAGUGCAGGACUUCUUAUGAAGAUGCUUUUGUAUAUACAUGCAGUGCUCCAGCAUGACCACAGCCUCAAGGCUGAAACAUAUAAAAGAAUAAGAGAAUAUAUAUAUAUAUAUAUAUAUAUAUAUAUAUAUA
rnacentral:misc_RNA from 1 species